rnacentral:rRNA from 1 species
CCUACGGGGCGCACCAGUGGGGAAUAUUGGACAAUGGGGGAAACCCUGAUCCAGCCAUCCCGCGUGUGCGAUGAAGGCCUUCGGGUUGUAAAGCACUUUUGGCAGGAAAGAAACGUCGCGGGUUAAUACCCCGCGAAACUGACGGUACCUGCAGAAUAAGCACCGGCUAACUACGUGCCAGCAGCCGCGGUAAUACGUAGGGUGCAAGCGUUAAUCGGAAUUACUGGGCGUAAAGCGUGCGCAGGCGGUUCGGAAAGAAAGAUGUGAAAUCCCAGAGCUUAACUUUGGAACUGCAUUUUUAACUACCGGGCUAGAGUGUGUCAGAGGGAGGUGGAAUUCCGCGUGUAGCAGUGAAAUGCGUAGAUAUGCGGAGGAACACCGAUGGCGAAGGCAGCCUCCUGGGAUAACACUGACGCUCAUGCACGAAAGCGUGGGGAGCAAACAGGAUUAGAUACCCGCGUAGU